rnacentral:rRNA from 1 species
GACAGAGGGUGCAAACGUUGUUCGGAAUUACUGGGCGUAAAGCGCGUGUAGGCAGCUUCGCAAGUCGGAUGUGAAAGCCCUGGGCUCAACCUAGGAAGUGCAUUCGAAACUGCAGAGCUUGAGUUCUGGAGAGGAAGGCGGAAUUCUCGGUGUAGAGGUGAAAUGCGCAGAUAUCAGGAGGAACACCAGCGGCGAAGGCGGCGCUCUGGGCCGGUACUGACACUGAGGAGCGAAAGCGUGGGUAGCAAACAGG